UCAGGCCUAACACAUUGCAAGUCGAACGGUAACGCGGGGCAACCUGGCGACGAGUGGCGAACGGGUGAGUAAUACAUCGGAACGUGCCCAGUAGUGGGGGAUAGCCCGGCGAAAGCCGGAUUAAUACCGCAUACGACCUACGGGUGAAAGCGGGGGACCGCAAGGCCUCGCGCUAUUGGAGCGGCCGAUGUCAGAUUAGCUAGUUGGUGGGGUAAAGGCCUACCAAGGCGACGAUCUGUAGCUGGUCUGAGAGGACGACCAGCCACACUGGGACUGAGACACGGCCCAGACUCCUACGGGAGGCAGCAGUGGGGAAUUUUGGACAAUGGGGGAAACCCUGAUCCAGCCAUGCCGCGUGCGGGAAGAAGGCCUUCGGGUUGUAAACCGCUUUUGUUGGGGAAGAAACGGUCUGCGCUAAUACCGCGGA
rnacentral:rRNA from 1 species